rnacentral:rRNA from 1 species
CCUACGGGAGGCAGCAGUGAGGAAUAUUGGUCAAUGGGCGGAAGCCUGAACCAGCCAAGUCGCGUGAGGGAUUAAGGCCCUGCGGGUCGUAAACCUCUUUUGCCGGGGAGCAGUGGUCCGGACGCGUCCGGACCGGGAGAGUACCCGGAGAAAAAGCAUCGGCUAACUCCGUGCCAGCAGCCGCGGUAAUACGGAGGAUGCGAGCGUUAUCCGGAUUUAUUGGGUUUAAAGGGUGCGUAGGCGGGCAUUUAAGCCGGCGGUCAAAUGUCGGGGCUCAACCCAAGAAAUGCUCUUAAUACUGGUUUUCUAGAGUGUGGGAGAGGUAAGUGGAAUUCCUAGUGUAGCGGUAGAAUGCGUAGAGAUUAGGAGGAACAUCAGAGGCGAAGGCGGCUUACUGGACCAUAACUGACGCUGAGGCUCGAAAGCGUGGGGAGCAAACAGGAUUAGAUACCCGGGUAGUC